ANUGGAGGAAACCUGAUGCAUAGAUGCCGCGUGAGUGAAGAACGCCUUUGGUUUGUAAAGCUCUUUUGUAGGGGAAGAUAAUGACUGUACCCUAAGAAUAAGGUCCGGCUAACUUCGUGCCAGCAGCCGCGGUAAUACGAAGGGACCUAGCGUAGUUCGGAAUUACUGGGCGUAAAGCGCGCGUAGGCCGUUGAGUUAGUUAAUUGUGAAAUCCCAAAGCUUAACUUUGGAACUGCAAUUAAAACUGCUCGACUAGAGUUUGAUAGAGGAAAGCGGAAUACAUAGUGUAGAGGUGAAAUUCGUAGAUAUUAUGUAGAACACCAGUUGCGAAGGCGGCUUUCUGGGUCAACACUGACGCUGAGGUGCGAAAGUAUGGGUAGCAAAGAGGAUUAGAUACCCUCGUAGUCCAUACCAUAAACGAUGAUUGCUAGAUGUUGGAAAUUUAUUUUCAGUAUCGCAGCUAACGCAUUAAGCAAUCCGCCUGGGGAGUACGACCGCAAGGUUAAAACUCAAAUGAAUUGACGGGGACCCGCACAAGCGGUGGAGCAUGUGGUUUAAUUCGAAGAUACGCGCAGAACCUUACCAACCCUUGACAUGUCUGUCGCGAGUUUAGGAAACUAGACUUUUCGGUUCGGCCGGACAGAACACAGGUGCUGCAUGGCUGUCGUCAGCUCGUGUCGUGAGAUGUUGGGUUAA
rnacentral:rRNA from 1 species